rnacentral:piRNA from 1 species
UUCACUCAUUCAUUCAUUUGUCCAUC